GUAGGCCGUACAAGUGGGUGAGUGACUAGUUCAUACUUCAUAGUCGAACGAAUCUGGUUUUGGUGCUCAACAAACGAAUCUGGUUUUACUGCUCAGCAGACUAGUUCAUACUUUUUAGUCGAACGAAUCUAGUUUCGGUACUCAGCAAACAAAUCAAGUUUCAGUACUCAACAGCCGAGGUAGCAAGAGUACAGAAUUUGCUUGAGCUUCACAAUCUGAUUCUUCAAGAUCUUCACAUGCAGUCAGUGUUUCAAAACUACUACCACUAGCUAUUUUUCUUCCAGAUUCAGAAUCUGUGGAUGUUGGACCAAAGACCACAUCACAUGGCCAGGGUGCAGGAGGAGGCUAUCAGAUGUGGCCGUUUCCAAGUUCAAACCUGCUAGCAAUCCAGCAGAGAGUGAAACAGUCGUACCAUUAUUUGAGGUCAAUGAUUCACGCUCUUCCAAAACUGGACACUGCAGAGGAGUUUUACAAAUUCGAAAGAUAAGAUGAGGUCUUCUGGCAGAACAGCAGCAACCUCCCUUUUCCAACAGUGCAGUAGUUUCCGUUAUUUAACCAAAAGUACCAAUGACAAUCUCAUUCCUUCCUGUUAUUUUGCAUCAAGAUAGGAUCAUGUCCGACCAGAGUUUGUGUCUAUUUC